rnacentral:rRNA from 1 species
GUGAACGCUGGCGGCGUGCUUAACACAUGCAAGUCGAACGGUAACAGGAAGUAGCUUGCUACUUUGCUGACGAGUGGCGCACGGGUGAGUAAUAUAUAGUUAAUGUGCCUCGAAGACUGGGAUAGCCACUGGAAACGGUGAUUAAUACUAGAUACACCUCUUUAGCUCAAGCUAGAGUGGGAAACGUUUUUUCGCUUCGAGAUCAGACUAUAUCCUAUCAGUUAGUUGGUGAGGUAAGAGCUCACCAAGGCAAUGACGGGUAGCGGGUUUGAGAGGAUGAUCCGCCACACUGGUACUGAGACACGGACCAGACUCCUACGGGAGGCAGCAGUGAGGAAUAUUGCACAAUGGGGGGAACCCUGAUGCAGCAACGCCGCGUGGAGGAUGACGCAUUUCGGUGUGUAAACUCCUUUUAUAUGUCAAGAAAAUGACGGUAGCAUAUGAAUAAGCACCGGCUAACUCCGU